rnacentral:tRNA from 1 species
AUUUAAGUAGUUUAUAUAAAAAUAUAGGGUUGUGGUUCCUAAGAAGUUUAUUUUAACCUUAGAUU